CCUACGGGAGGCAGCAGUGAGGGAUAUUGCGCAAUGGGGGAAACCCUGACGCAGCGACGCCGCGUGGGUGAUGAAGGCCUUCGGGUCGUAAAGCCCUGUCAGGUGGGAAGAAACCUACUGGCUCGAAUAGGGCUGGUAGCUGACGGUACCACCAGAGGAAGCACCGGCUAACUCCGUGCCAGCAGCCGCGGUAAUACGGAGGGUGCGAGCGUUGCUCGGAAUCACUGGGCGUAAAGCGCGUGUAGGCGGUCAGGCAAGUCAGAUGUAAAAGCCCCUGGCUUAACCAGGUAAGUGCAUUUGAAACUGCUGGGCUGGAGUACGGGAGAGGAGAGUGGAAUUCCCGGUGUAGAGGUAAAAUUCGUAGAUAUCGGGAGGAACCCCGGUGGCGAAGGCGGCUCUCUGGCCCGAUACUGACGCUGAGAUGCGAAAGCGUGGGGAGCAAACAGGAUUAGAUACCCCUGUAUU
rnacentral:rRNA from 1 species